rnacentral:rRNA from 1 species
CAGUCGCCGCGGGAAUACGAAGGGGGCUAGCGUUGCUCGGAAUGACUGGGCGUAAAGGGCGCGUAGGCGGCUUGUACAGUCAGAUGUGAAAUUCCUGGGCUCAACCUGGGGACUGCAUUUGAUACGUACGGGCUUGAGUGGAGAAGAGGGUUGUGGAAUUUCCAGUGUAGAGGUGAAAUUCGUAGAUAUUGGAAAGAACACCGGUGGCGAAGGCGGCAACCUGGUCUUUAACUGACGCUGAGGCGCGAAAGCGUGGGGAGCAAACAGGAUUAGAUACCCCCGUAGUCCCUGUCUCUUAUAC